rnacentral:rRNA from 1 species
UUCCGGUUGAUCCUGCCGGACCCCACUGCUAUCGAGGUGGGACUAAGCCAUGCUAGUUGAACGGCCCGGACUAUGGCGGGGAGUGGCAGACUGCUCAGUAACACGUAGCUAACCUACCCUCGGGACGGGGAUACCCCCGGGAAACUGGGGACAAUCCCUGAUAGGCGUGGAUUCCUGGAAUGGUUCCACACCCAAAUGUUGUGCACCCAUGUCGUGCACAGACGCCCGAGGAUGGGGCUGCGGCCGAUCAGGCAGUUGGUGGGGUAAUGGCCCACCAAACCUUUGACCGGUACGGGCCAUGAGAGUGGUAGCCCGGAGAUGGACACUGAGACAAGGGUCCAGGCCCUACGGGGUGCAGCAGGCGCGAAAUCUCCACAAUGCGCGAAAGCGUGAUGGGGUUAUCCCGAGUGCCGUCCGAUGAGGAUGGCUUUUCAUCGGUGUACGUAUCCGGUGGAAUAAAGGGGGGGCAAGACUGGUGUCAGCCGCCGCGGUAAUACCAGCCCCCUGAGUGGUAAGGACGAUUAUUUGGCCUAAAGCGUCCGUAGCCGGCUUAGCAAGUCUUUUGUUAAAUCCAACGAUUCAAUCGUUGGGCCGCAAAAGAUACUGUUAUGCUAGAGGACGGGAGAGGUCGGCGGUAGUCCAGGGGUAGGGGUGAAAUCCUAUAAUCCUUGGAGGACCACCAGUGGCGAAGGCGGUCGACUAGAACGUGCCUGACGGUGAGGGACGAAAGCUGGGGGAGCGAACCGGAUUAGAUACCCGGGUAGUCCCAGCUGUAAACGAUGCGGGCUAGGUGUUGGGGCAGCCACGAGCUGCCCCAGUGCCGCAGAGAAGUUGUUAAGCCCGCCGCCUGGGGAGUACGGUCGCAAGGCUGAAACUUAAAGGAAUUGGCGGGGGAGCACCACAAGGGGUGAAGGCUGCGGUUUAAUUGGAGUCAACGCCGGGA